rnacentral:sRNA from 1 species
GCUGGGCACGGUGGUGCAUGCCUGUAAUCCCCGUGGCUCGGGAGGCUGAGGCAGGAGUAUCUUAAGUUCAAAGCCAACCUCAGCAAAAGCAAGGUGCUAAGCAACUCGGUGAGACCCUGUCUCUA